UACGAAGGGGGGCUAGCGUUGCUCGGAAUCACUGGGCGUAAAGGGUGCGUAGGCGGGUCUUUUAAGUCAGGGGUGAAAUCCUGGAGCUCAACUCCAGAACUGCCUUUGAUACUGAGGAUCUUGAGUUCGGGAGAGGUGAGUGGAACUGCGAGUGUAGAGGUGAAAUUCGUAGAUAUUCGCAAGAACACCAGUGGCGAAGGCGGCUCACUGGCCCGAUACUGACGCUGAGGCACGAAAAGCGUGGGGGAGCAAAACAGGG
rnacentral:rRNA from 1 species